CAUAUCAAUAAGCGGAGGAAAAGAAACUAACAAAGGAUUCCCCUAGUAACUGCGAGUGAAGCGGGAAAAGCUCAAAUUUAAAAUCUGUCAGCCUUUGGCUGUCCGAGUUGUAAUCUAGAGAAGUGUUAUCCGCGCUGGACCGUGUACAAGUCUCCUGGAAUGGAGCGUCAUAGAGGGUGAGAAUCCCGUCUUUGACACGGACUGCCAGGGCUUUGUGAUGCGCUCUCAAAGAGUCGAGUUGUUUGGGAAUGCAGCUCAAAAUGGGUGGUAAAUUCCAUCUAAAGCUAAAUAUUGGCGAGAGACCGAUAGCGAACAAGUACCGUGAGGGAAAGAUGAAAAGAACUUUGGAAAGAGAGUUAAACAGUACGUGAAAUUGCUGAAAGGGAAACGCUUGAAGUCAGUCGCGUUGUCCAGGGAUCAACCUUGCUUUUGCUUGGUGUACUUUCUGGUUAACGGGUCAGCAUCAAUUUUGACUGUUGGAAAAAGAUCAGGGGAAUGUGGCAUCUUCGGAUGUGUUAUAGCCCUUGGUUGCAUACAAUGGUUGGGAUUGAGGAACUCAGCACGCCGCAAGGCCGGGUUUUAACCACGUACGUGCUUAGGAUGCUGGCAUAAUGGCUUUAAUCGACCCGUCUUGAAACACGGACCAAGGAGUCUAACAUGCCUGCGAGUGUUUGGGUGGAAAACCCGAGCGCGUAAUGAAAGUGAAAGUUGAGAUCCUUGUCAUGGGGAGCAUCGACGCCCGGACCAGACCUUUUGUGACGGUUCCGCGGUAGAGCAUGUAUGUUGGGACCCGAAAGAUGGUGAACUAUGCCUGAAUAGGGUGAAGCCAGAGGAAACUCUGGUGGAGGCUCGUAGCGAUUCUGACGUGCAAAUCGAUCGUCAAAUUUGGGUAUAGGGGCGAAAGACUAAUCGAACCAUCUAGUAGCUGGGUUCCUUGC
rnacentral:rRNA from 1 species